GACGUCAAGUCUUCUGAAGACCUAUGGGACCGACUUAAAGGUGUCAGACCACCAAUUAAAAAUCCCUAUCUGUUCAACCAAAUUUUGCAAUUUUCACAGCUCUCUAAAUAUUUUACCUUAAGUUUAACUUCAAGGAAACCAGGUAUAUCCUGAAUUGUACAUGUAUCACCUUCCUACAUGCCAAUUUUCAACCAAUGUUUAAAGUCUUGUUACAAAUUU
rnacentral:lncRNA from 1 species